AUGAAGGACGUGCUAAUCUGCGAUAAGCGCCGGUAAGGUGAUAUGAACCGUUAUAACCGGCGAUUUCCGAAUGGGGAAACCCAGUGUGAUUCGUCACACUAUCAUUAACUGAAUCCAUAGGUUAAUGAGGCGAACCGGGGGAACUGAAACAUCUAAGUACCCCGAGGAAAAGAAAUCAACCGAGAUUCCCCCAGUAGCGGCGAGCGAACGGGGAGGAGCCCAGAGCCUGAAUCAGCAUGUGUGUUAGUGGAAGCGUCUGGAAAGGCGCGCGAUACAGGGUGACAGCCCCGUACACAAAAGCGCAUGUGCUGUGAGCUCGAUGAGUAGGGCGGGACACGUGGUAUCCUGUCUGAAUAUGGGGGGACCAUCCUCCAAGGCUAAAUACUCCUGACUGACCGAUAGUGAACCAGUACCGUGAGGGAAAGGCGAAAAGAACCCCGGCGAGGGGAGUGAAAAAGAACCUGAAACCGUGU
rnacentral:rRNA from 2 species